rnacentral:rRNA from 1 species
GACGAACGCUGGCGGCGUGCUUAACACAUGCAAGUCGAACGGAAAGGCCCUGCUUGCAGGGUACUCGAGUGGCGAACGGGUGAGUAACACGUGGGUGAUCUGCCCUGCACUUCGGGAUAAGCCUGGGAAACUGGGUCUAAUACCGGAUAGGAGCCAUUUUUAGUGUGAUGGUUGGAAAGUUUUUUCGGUGUAGGAUGAGCUCGCGGCCUAUCAGCUUGUUGGUGGGGUAAUGGCCUACCAAGGCGGCGACGGGUAGCCGGCCUGAGAGGGUGGACGGCCACAUUGGGACUGAGAUACGGCACAGACUCCUACGGGCGGCAGCAGUGGGGAAUAUUGCACAAUGGGCGCAAGCCUGAUGCAGCGACGCCGCGUGGGGGAUGACGGCCCUCGGGUUGUAAACUCCUUUCGCUAGGGACGAAGCUUUUUGUGACGGUACCUAGAUAAGAAGCACCGGCUAACUACGUG